CAUCCCAGAAAAAGUGUGCAUGGGAGCAAAUAAAUAGGGGUGACUCCAGGGGUCAUGGGAAAUUUCCCUGAUAUAUGGAACAAUGUGAGAUAUGUCUAAGGAAAAUAUUUAGUUUCAUAAUUUGGGAAUAGGAUUUCAUUUAGCACUUUUGAAACAUGUGUCUAAAUCAGUACGCAGCUAGCUCAGGAAAAUAGUACUGAAGUGCCUGAGCUUUCAGUCAUUUCAUCGUUAGCUCUGAUGGUUGUUAGAUUCCCAAGCGGUGACAGAGUACGGAAGCUGCCUGGACCACGAAACACAUCCGCUCCAUCUCCUAGGUGUUGCACGUGGGUUAUUUGUUGUUUUUGCUGUGUGAUGUCCAGAAUUGGCCACAUUAAACUUUAAUUCUCCAUUUCCUUUAGGCUUAUAGGACUCUUCGCUGAAAGGAAGAUUGGAUGUUGUUUUGUCCAAUCCACUAUCUGGUGCUAAAUUUGUAUACCCUCCUUGCAUUCCCCAAACUCUUCAGCAAGCAGCAGAUUCUGAGGGAAACACUUUGUCUUAGUCUGUUUGUGUUGCUACAAAGGACUAUCUGAUUGGUAAUUUAGAAAGAAAAGAGGUUUUAUUGUUUGUUUGUUUCAUUGUUCUGUAGGUUGUACAAGGAGCAUGGGACCAGCAUGUGCUUCUGGUGAGGGCCUCAGGAAGCUUCCACUCAUGAUGGACAGUGAACAGGGGACAAGCAUACAUGGUGAGAGGAAGGAAGCCACAGGAAGAGAGAGAGGUGCCAGACUCUUUUCAACAACAAUUCUCAACAACUCACUCCCCACAAGAAUGGCACCAAACCAUUCACAAGGAACAUCUGUCCCGCUGGUUUCAUCUUGCGUGUAAAUGAGCUACGAUAGCAACAAUUUCUGUCAUCUUUGUCACUGAUCUGGAAUGAAAGUUACCAGAGAGCCUCUUGAGAAAUGUGGUAGAGAUAAUUGUGAACCCUGCAAAAAUACAGACGCUCACUCUGUCGCCAAGCUGGAGUGCAGUGGCGUGAUCUCGGGUAACUGCAACCUUCUCCUCCCAGGUUCAAGCGAUUCUCCCUCCUCAGCCUCCCGAGCAGCUGGGACUACAGCCCUACCUCUGGACCCAGGCAGCCCUAUGGAUAUUCCUGGUGCUUCCCAAUGUUGA
rnacentral:lncRNA from 1 species